GACGAACGCUGGCGGCGUGCCUAAUACAUGCAAGUCGAGCGGACUUUCAAGAAGCUUGCUUUUUGAAAGUUAGCGGCGGACGGGUGAGUAACACGUGGGCAACCUGCCUGCAAGACGGGGAUAACUCCGGGAAACCGGGGCUAAUACCGGAUAAUAUCUUCCUUCGCAUGAAGGAAGGUUGAAAGGCGGCGCAAGCUGCCGCUUGCAGAUGGGCCCGCGGCGCAUUAGCUAGUUGGGGAGGUAACGGCUCACCAAGGCGGCGAUGCGUAGCCGACCUGAGGGGGUGAUCGGCCACACUGAGACUGAGACACGGCCCAGACUCCUACGGGAGGCAGCAGUAGGGAAUCUUCCGCGAUGGACGAAAGUCUGACGGAGGAACGCAGCGUGAGCGAAGAAGGUCUUCGGAUCGUAAAGCUCUGUUGUCAGGGAGGAAAAAGUACCGUUCGAACAGGGCGGUACCUUGACGGUACCUGAACAGAAAGCCACGGCUAACUACGUG
rnacentral:rRNA from 1 species